ensembl:lncRNA
CUCGCUGCAGAGAGGUGCGCGGAGCGGGCAGCGCCCAUCGCACGAAGCAGAUCCCGCAAAUAGCCCGGGAGCGCGGGGCCAGGGGGAGCGCCGGAGCCAUUUUGCAGACCUUGGGCUGGAAGCGGCCGGAGCGGCGGGAGGAGGGAGCGGGAGGAGAGCGCGUUGUGUCGGCAGCGAGCUUAGCUCGGAGCCCCGGCUGUCCCGGCGCUGCCUCCCCCGCUCUGUCCCGCGGCCCGGCCCCGCGUGGAGGCAGCGGGUGCCCCACCGGAGCUCCGUGCACGGCUCGGGUUGGUGGCAGCGGCCCCGCGCUGUCCCCGCGGGGACGUCCGGGGCUGCGCGGUGCCUCGUGCCACGGGGGAUGGUGGGUUUUCGGGGCUCGCCGUGUAAUUCCAUCAGCCUGUGUAUCUGAGGGAUGAGGUUGGUUGUCAGGGUGAGAAAAGCAGGGCCUGGAGCUAUUCGGCUCCAUGCUGUCUCGGCUGCUAUCUGCUGCAUGCAGGUAUCUGGUUUGUAUCACAAAACAAGGUGAUGCACAUUAAAACAGGCAUAUCGGACUACGAACAAACACAGUUUUGGACACAGUGUAAGGAUAUGAAAACAAUGGCAUACAAUUUAUUUACAGAGCUUUCUUACAACUGCACUACUAAGACAUUUUAGAGCUAACUGGGUCCCUAUGCUCCCUAUCUACUCUAUCUCUUGCUGGACGAGUCUCUCUCUGGGCACAUCACACCAGACGGGCGCUGUCAGCUGGCGCUCUCCUCUUCAGUCCAGUUCUUCCUCGGCUGUUUUGGACAUCAACUCUGUCAAAGCUCGGCUUACAGGAGAAGAGUAACUGAAAUGCAAAGGAGAAAACUCAGUCGCCCUCGUGUCAAAACAAAAAAUCAGAAGGAUAAGAGAAGAAAGACUUUGAAUUGCAAAAACAAAGAAACCUGUAUAGAAAAACAUCUGUGAUUUGGUUUCAACCUCCAAUUCAGGGCAAAGCAUUCAGAGACUGUCAGAGCCCCGCCGGUGUUUCCACCCGAGAUGUGCCCUCAGUGAUGAAGAUGCAGAACGUCUCUGGCCAUCCUCACCUCCUCGGCUGCCCCAGGCUCACCUCAUGGGAACGCCCCUCCCAGCCAGGAGGAGGUGCUGGGAGCUGGGCCAUGCGCACACACACAGCCAUACCUCGCUCUGAGCAGAAGGUGCGUCCUCUUCCCUGUGAUGCUGUGCUGGCAGGACGGGUGUUCCCAGAGCUGCUGUUCUUCUGCCGGCGCUGGAGCAGCAUCAGGCGUUGGUCCUCAUCACAUGCUGGAGGGGAGAGUGGUGUCCCAGGACUCCGUGGCUCAUCUGCAGCAGAGACCAAAGAAAUUCCUGUUAUCAACUUUCAGUAUCGCUAUCAACUCUGUCUAUCAGCUAUCUCACAAUGUCUCUGUCCCCUAUUUCCCAAUCAAAUAUCCCAGUAUGAUAUAACUAUCUAUCUCACUAGCAACUCUUUUGCUUUCCACUAAGUAUCUUCGAUCUACACACCAUCUAUCAAUUACCUGUCUUGCUAUGCACUGUCUUUCCACUAUCUCACUACCAACUAUUUUUCUUGCUAUCAACUGUCUUGCUAUACACUAGGUUUCUUACUAUCCACCAACUCUCUCCCUGUCAAUUCUUUUGCUGUCCACUAUCAACCCAAGAACUGUCUCACUAUCCAACGCUUUCAGCCCCCCACAGCCCCAGGGCUGCCCUACCCCUGCCCCUCGCACAGCCCGCACUGGGCUGCCAGCCCAUCACCUGCAGCUGCCCUGGUGGGGCCGCAGCUGCAAGCGGGGCAGUGCGGGGCUGCUGGGGCUGCCAGGGAGGCGGCUGCAGCACGAGUACCUUCCUGUGAGCAGAAGGCGCGUCUUCUUCUCCGUGAUGCUCUGCUGGCAGGACGGGUCUCUGCAGAGCUGCUGUUCUUCUGCCAGCACUGGGGCAGCAUCAGGUGUUGCUCUUCACCCCAUGCUGGCGGGGAGAGUGGUAUCCCAGGAUGCAGUAGCACAUCUGAAACAGAGAUUCUUUUUAGCAACUUUCUAUAUCAUACUCUAUAAAUUAACUACCUUUCAGUCACCCAUCUUUCUAUCCUGCAUCCCCCUAUCAGCUAUCUGGCUAUGAUCUAACUACAUCACUACUAACUCUUGCUUACUGCUAACUACCUUGCUAUCCACAAACUACUUCUCUAACAAUAACCCACCUAUCUGCUAUCUGUUCACUACCUUUAUACCACCAUCAGCUAUCUAUCUCACUAUCUAUGUCACUAUCAACUAAUCUACAUCACUAUCAAGUAAUCUAUGUCACUAUCAACUAAUCUACGUCGCUAUCAACUAAUCUACGUCGCUAUCAACUAUCAUGCUACCCACUAUCUAUCUAUACAACAACUAUCUCUAUCUCCUCACAUUCCUCAUCUACAUCUACCGGCCCCUGAUCCCCCCGGGGCUGCUCUCCUCCCGUCCCUCACACUGCCCGCUCUGGGCUGCCAGCCCGUGAUCUCCCUGCUGGUAGGCGGGGCUGCUGGGGGCUGCUGGCGGCUGCGAAGGAAGCCGGGGGCUGCAGCACGGCCAGAGGAGGGGUUGCGAAGGGAGCCGGGGGCUGCAGCACGGCCAGAGGAGGGGCUGCAGCCAAGGAAGCCAGGGGCUGCAGCACGGCCAGAGGGGCUGCAGCCACCACCGGCCCCAGCAGCACGGGCACUGCCAGCCAGGGGUGGCAAGGGCAGGCAGGG